UCCUACGGGAGGCAGCAGUGGGGAAUAUUGGACAAUGGGGGGAACCCUGAUCCAGCGACGCCGCGUGAGUGAAGAAGUAUUUCGGUAUGUAAAGCUCUAUCAGCAGGGAAGAAAAUGACGGUACCUGACUAAGAAGCCCCGGCUAACUACGUGCCAGCAGCCGCGGUAAUACGUAGGGGGCAAGCGUUAUCCGGAAUCACUGGGUGUAAAGGGAGCGUAGACGGCUGUGCAAGCCUGAAGUGAAAGGCGGGGGCCCAACCCCCGGACUGCUUUGGGAACUGUACGGCGGGAGUGCAGGAGAGGGA
rnacentral:rRNA from 1 species